UUUUUGUGGAGUAAACAUGCAUUCGGUUUAAAGAUAUAUAGUCUGAUGGUUUCUAUCACUUGGAAUCUAAAAGUUGAACCAAACACAAUAUCACGUGAAUAACAAGGGUUUCUGCAAAGAAGACCUAACAUUAGGUGAAAAUUGAUUGACUAACUUAAACCGCGUUUUCGAUCUAUCGGUUCGUUAAUUUGAUAGAGAGUACGAGGAAACUUGUGCCUCAUACGAUGUCCAUUAAUGGUUUGUUUUAUACCUGCUGUAACUUACCCUUUUGUUUCCAUCUUUGCUGAAUUUGAAACUUGGAAGAUAUGUGUAUCUUAAAAUGCUUGUGUGGUUGGUUAACUCUUUCAAGGACGAAAGUGUAGUAAAUGAAGGAGCUCGCAUUUACAGAGCAACCGAGAGGUGUUGAAGACCAAGUGAAAGCACCGAUGCAUCGCGUAUUAGGGUUCUCACAUGGGUCCAUAUUGAUUUUUUUUUCUGAAAGCUGCUCAUUUUUUCACCUAAAGCUUAUAUGACGUGGCCGAAUAACUCUUUUUCAUUGGUCAUUUUUCGAUGACAUGGCGUGCAUAUUGGCCUUUUAUUAUUUAAGUUGAUUUUCUUAACUUGCAACGGUAAUAACUUUGUGAGAGCGAGAAAGAUAGCGAAUAAACUUUCUUUUACUUUAACCGGAGUAACACAUUCCCUUAUCCACCGUUGGUUUCGAAGUUCAUGAUCCAAGGGUUUAAAAUCCAAGCAUCCUCAAAAUUUUGAUCGUUAGGAAUUUUUUUUCUUUCUAUUCCCCUCUCCUCUCAUCUCCUUCCACUAAGACACGUUCUCUCUCUCUAUCGCUUUCUCCUUCUUCUUUUCUCAGAUGAUUCUCCACAGAAAAUAAUCAAAAAAGAAAAGACGUUUCAUAAAUAAUGGAAGGGAACGAUCAUGGCGACGAGACAAACUUAAGUUAGAGAUGAUCCCGUCCAUGUCAGGAACCGUUGCGCUCUUUGGGACAUCGGAAACCUCACUUCUCUUCCCCGAGUCGAAGGAGGAACGAUCAAUCCACCCUUGCCCCCCUUGACCCGUAACUUUCGUUCCAGGUUACAAGAAAACGCACAAAUUGCUGAUAAAAAAGCAAAUCAAUCUAGAAAAAAGCUUCCUUUUCUUGAUGGUCCUCUUGUACCCACGAGUUGCUGAUAAUUAUAAAGAUCAAUGUGGACCAAGCUUCGGUUCUUGAUGAUGCUCAUGUUGUACCCAAGAAAGGCGGUUCAAAACCUAUCGAAGUGCUUGUCCACCAGAGAACCCAGAUACGAUGGUGGUGGCGACCCGUUAAAGGAUAUGGAUUGGGAGAGAAGUUAACCGAGGGAAAGAGAUCGAGUUUUCAACAUUUGAGGAGCGCGUGGAUUCACUCUCCGCUACGAUUUCUCAAGGUUUAGCUUGCUGCAACGGGGCUAUACACACCACACAUGCUGAAGGGAACAAAUUUUGACCGAGUAUCACUUUUCAUGAAAUUAGGAAACCGAGGUGGCCGAAGCUAUAUUUUUACACAAGUAUAAACCGUUUAUACUUUUAAAACAUAGGAUUUUAGUCUACCCUUAUCCCAUACACCCCUAAUCUCUUAUGCCUCUUAAUCCCCAAUACCUCUAGUCCGACAUACCUAUAAUUUUAUAUACCGUUAAUCCCUAAUACCACUAAUGUGAUAUUAAGAGAUAUUUGAGAUUAAAAGGCAUUUGAGAUUAAAAGUGUAUUUGAGAUUAGGGAACAUUUGAAAUUAAAGGAGAUUUGAGAUUAAGACAUUUGAGAUUACGAUCAAAUAAUAGACAUUUGGGAUUAAAAGGGGUAUUUGAGAUUAGGGGUUAGUGGAAUUAAAGGGCAUUUAAGAUAAAGUUGAGAUUAUGGAUAUUUGAGAAUAAAUGGCAUUUGAGAUUAAGUUUAGAUAAGGGGUAUUUGAGAUUAAAGGGUAUUUGAAUUAAAGGGCAUCUAAAAUUAAAGGAGUAUUUGAGAUUAGGGACAUUUGAGAUUAAAUGAGUAUUUGAGAUUAGGGGCUUUUGAGAUUAAAGUGACAUUUGAGAUUAUGGGCAUUUGAGAUUAAAGGGGCAUUUGAGAUUAGGGGUAUUUUAGAUUAGAGAGGCAUUUGAGAUUAAGGGGAAUUUAAAAUUAAUUAGGGUUUAGGGUUUAGGGGCAUUUGAGAUUAAAGGGACAUUUGAAAUUAGGGGCAUUUUAGAUUAGAGGGGUAUUUGAGAUUAAUUAGGGUUUAGGUUCUAGGGUUUAGGGUUUAGGGGCAUUUGAGAUUAGGGUUUAAGGUUUAGGGGAAUUUGAGAUUAGGGUUUAGGGUUUAGGUAUUAGGGGUUAGGGUUUAGGGGUAUUUGAGAUUAAAGGGUAUUUGAGAAUAGGCGUAUUUGAGAUUAAAGGGGUAUUUGAGAAUAGGGGUAUUUGAUAAUAGGGGUAUUUCAGAUUAAAGGGUAUUUGAGAAUAGGGUAUUUGAGAAUAGGGGUAUUUGAGAAUAGGGGUAUUUGAGAUUAAAAGGGUUUAGGGUUUAGGGUUUAGGGUUUAGGGUUUAGGGUUUAGGGUUUAGGGUUUAGGGUUUAGGGUUUAGGGUUUAGGGUUUAGGGUUUAGGGU